ACUCGCGCGGCUCCCGUUCGCGGAGCACACAUCCCGGCGCGACGAGGUUCCUUCGGAGAGCGAGCGGGAGUCGGUGCUCGGCCUCCUGCGGGGAGCAGCCCGAGGCCUGGUCUCAGAGAACACAGUAGAUGUGUAGUCAGUUUGUUCAAUAAAUAUGCUUGAUGGAGCUUCAAUACCCACCUCCACCCCCUUCUCCCAGAAUCUGCAGGGAGAGGUCGGGAGGUGACAACGCCAGCAUGCCAGUGCUAUCGGAGGACUCUGGUUUGCAUGAAACCCUGGCCCUGCUGACCUCCCAGCUCAGACCUGACUCCAACCACAAGGAGGAGAUGGGCUUCCUGAGGGAUGUUUUCAGUGAAAAAAGCCUCAGUUACUUAAUGAAGAUUCAUGAGAAGCUUCGCUAUUAUGAAAGGCAAAGUCCAACCCCAGUUCUGCACAGCGCUGUGGCCCUCGCUGAGGACGUGAUGGAGGAGUUGCAGGCCGCCUCCGUGCACAGUGAUGAGAGGGAGCUGCUCCAGCUGCUGUCCACCCCGCACCUGAGGGCUGUGCUCAUGGUACAUGACACGGUUGCCCAGAAGAAUUUUGACCCCGUUCUCCCGCCUCUGCCUGACAAUAUCGAUGAGGAUUUUGAUGAGGAAUCGGUGAAGAUCGUCCGCUUGGUGAAGAACAAGGAACCCCUGGGUGCCACCAUCCGGCGGGACGAGCACUCAGGGGCUGUUGUGGUGGCCAGGAUCAUGCGAGGAGGCGCAGCAGACAGGAGCGGCCUGGUCCACGUUGGAGAUGAGCUCCGAGAAGUGAACGGGAUCGCAGUCCUGCACAAGCGGCCCGACGAGAUCAGCCAGAUUCUGGCCCAGUCCCAGGGAUCCAUCACCCUAAAAAUCAUCCCAGCCACCCAGGAGGAAGAUCGCUUAAAGGAGAGCAAGGUGUUCAUGCGCGCCCUCUUCCACUACAACCCUCGGGAGGACCGGGCCAUCCCUUGCCAGGAGGCGGGCCUGCCCUUCCAGCGCAGGCAGGUCCUGGAGGUGGUGAGCCAGGACGACCCCACGUGGUGGCAGGCCAAGCGAGUCGGGGACACCAACCUUCGAGCCGGCCUCAUCCCCUCCAAGGGGUUCCAGGAGAGACGACUAAGCUACCGGAGAGCCGCGGGCACCCUGCCGAGCCCCCAGAGCCUCAGGAAGCCCCCCUAUGAUCAGCCUUGUGACAAAGAGACCUGUGACUGUGAGGGCUACCUCAAAGGGCACUAUGUGGGUAAGGAAAUUGAGGCUCAGAGAGAUGAAGGGACUUGUCCAAGGUCAGUCACAUGCCAAGUAAAACAGUGACCUUAAGCCCUAGUUUGUGAAUGCAGGGGUCACCCUUUCAUCUUAUUAUUGUAUUUCCUGAACAACCUCUUCCAGUAGCAGGAGGAGGUUGGGAGAAGUCAGUGGGACUCAGUCCCAUCUCCAGGUCUGGCCAGGUGGGAAAAGUCUCUACUGGGAGAUCCUGGGACAACUGGGACAAAUGCCAUGGUGUCCCUCUGCCCCUCCUCCCAAGCUGGUCUUCGGAGGAGCUUCCGGCUGGGCUGUAGGGAGAGACUGGGUGGCUCGCAGGAAGGAAAGAUGUCCUCCGGAGCUGAGUCUCCGGAGCUGCUGACUUACGAAGAGGUGGCCAGGUACCAACACCAGCCCGGAGAGCGGCCCCGCCUGGUGGUUCUGAUCGGGUCUCUGGGAGCCCGACUGCACGAGCUGAAGCAAAAGGUGGUGGCUGAGAACCCACAGCACUUUGGCGUCGCUGUUCCACAUACCACCAGGCCCCGAAAGAGCCAUGAGAAGGAAGGAGUGGAAUAUCACUUUGUGUCUAAGCAAGCAUUUGAGGCCGACUUACAUCACAACAAGUUCCUGGAACAUGGUGAAUAUAAGGAAAAUCUGUAUGGAACCAGCCUGGAGGCCAUUCAGGCUGUUAUGGCCAAAAACAAAGUUUGUUUGGUGGAUGUGGAGCCAGAAGCACUGAAACAACUGAGGACCUCAGAAUUUAAACCCUAUAUUAUAUUUGUAAAGCCUGCAAUUCAGGAAAAAAGAAAAACGCCACCUAUGUCCCCAGCUUGUGAGGACACAGCAGCCCCAUUUGAUGAGCAGCAGCAAGAGAUGGCCGCUUCUGCCGCCUUCAUAGACCGGCAUUACGGGCACCUGGUAGACGCCGUGCUGGUGAAGGAGGAUCUCCAGGGUGCCUACAGCCAGCUCAAAGUGGUCUUAGAGAAGCUGAGCAAGGACACUCACUGGGUACCUGUUAGUUGGGUCAGGUAACUUUAUCCCAGAACAUCCAAGCUGGACGGGACCUUGAAGAUCAUCUAGUCCAGACUCCCUCAUUUUACCAUCAAGGAAUCUCAAGCGCAGAGAGGGAGAGAAUUCUCCACAAAUUCCAUCAUCGAGAAGAGUAUAAGUGGGAAGUCUUGUUUGUUGUUGGUUUUUGUCUGUUGUUUUUCACUGCACCUCUUUGGAUCAUGAUUUGAAAGGGGCAUAUCAGAAAACAACACAUUUCAUUUAUUAAAGUAUCACAGGCAAGCUGACCCUGAUUCUUUGUACCAAAGUUAAGUAGCCACUGUCUUUUGUGGGUGGUAGUGGUUAAUUUAUACAGUACUGAUUCGCAGAAUGUUUAAGCUUUUUAAACAUAGUGACGCUUAGUAGUUUUUUUGGAAGCUAACUUGUUUUAUCCAAGGGGAUUUUACAUGUAACUGAAGUUCCCCUGUCUUCAAGCACUAAAACGUUGAUCUUAACCUUUUUUUUGAAGUGCUUGCCUGGUAAUAGAAAACGGGUUCUCUGCCUAUUUUAAAAUAGUGAAUAUACGUAAAUUUUCUCUGGAAGGCUGAGGCACACUUCACCAUCAACAUGAAUUACUGUACUAUCCUGUACUGCAGUGGUGCCUUCAGGGACUCGAGGAAUGUAAGGUUGCCUUUCCCCUUUCUAAAUACCCUCAGAUUCCUAACAUCGAGCCCAUGCUUUGUUUGAUUUGUUCUAUUCCAUCCAUUGUCCCUUUUGUUACUGACAGUUGCCUUGGUCCUAGCCAGUCCCUGCCAUGAGAUCAUAGGGGUUCCCAUUGUGCUAGAUCUUGGGAAACCAGAUGACUCUCCCUGUCAAAACUAUGGCUACGUCACUGUAAACCAUUUCUGUCAAGAAUAAAAGUAUGUAGACCCAGA